rnacentral:rRNA from 1 species
AGUGAACGCUGGCGGUAGGCCUAACACAUGCAAGUCGAACGGCAGCACAGUAAGAGCUUGCUCUUACGGGUGGCGAGUGGCGGACGGGUGAGGAAUACAUCGGAAUCUACUUUUUCGUGGGGGAUAACGUAGGGAAACUUACGCUAAUACCGCAUACGACCUACGGGUGAAAGCAGGGGAUCUUCGGACCUUGCGCGAUUGAAUGAGCCGAUGUCGGAUUAGCUAGUUGGCGGGGUAAAGGCCCACCAAGGCGACGAUCCGUAGCUGGUCUGAGAGGAUGAUCAGCCACACUGGAAGUGAGACACGGUCCAGACUCCUACGGGAGGCAGCAGAGGGGAAUAUUGGACAAAGGGCGCAAGCCUGAUCCAGCCAUACCGCGUGGGUGAAGAAGGCCUUCGGGUUGUAAAGCCCUUUUGUUGGGAAAGAAAAGCAGCAGGUUAAUACCCCGCUGUUCUGACGGUACCCAAAGAAUAAGCACCGGCUAACUUCGUG